AUUGAACGCUGGCGGCGUGCCUAAUACAUGCAAGUCGAACGGGGAAAGCUUUCGGGUGAGUACUAGUGGCGCACGGGUGAGGAACGCGUGGAUAAUCUGCCUUAGAGUGGGGGAUAACUAGUCGAAAGAUUAGCUAAUACCGCAUAAGACCACAGGAGCUGCGGCUCAAGGGGUCAAAGGUUUUUCGCUCUAAGAUGAGUCCGCGUAAGAUUAGCUAGUUGGUGAGGUAACGGCUCACCAAGGCGACGAUCUUUAACUGGUCUGAGAGGAUGAUCGGUCACGCUGGCUCUGAGACACGGUCCAGACUCCUACGGGAGGCAGCAGUAGGGAAUAUUGCACAAUGGAGGAAACUCUGAUGCAGCGACGCCGCGUGAGUGAUGAAGGCCUUCGGGUCGUAAAGCUCUGUCGCAGGGGAAUAACACAAUGAAGGUACCCUGUAAGAAAGGAUCGGCUAACUUCGUGCCAGCCGCCGCCGUAAAA
rnacentral:rRNA from 1 species